CGCGAUCGGCACGUGCAAUAUGCAUAUGUGACGGGGCUCACAACUGUGAUGUUCUCAAGCUCCACGUCGCUGCCGCCUCAAUAAAACCAGACGCGUGGAGUGUGGCUUUUCUCUCUUUUUUUAUUACAUGUGACU